CGCCAGACGUUCGCAGCUGCAGCACCGAGCAAAGUUAUCAUUUUAGAAUUCAGGCGAGAGGAAUUCGUCAUUCUACCAAGAGAGAAACUCGCUCACUGACCUGGGCGUGCGGCCCACAGAAACACAGAAAACGGAAACGAGCCCUCUAAUCUUAGUUACCUUUAAGAGAGGCCUUAAUUUCCUUUCACCAGGUUUCCAAUGGAGCUACCCAGGAGAGAUCGCUGUUACCAGUAAUUGCCCUGGAGGGUGCCAGUGAGUCGGAUCAAUCCUGCCACAUAGUAACUGGCAUUUUAUACAUUGCUUAGUCUUUUGAACGGCUCUUCCUUCUCAGAGAAAAGAAGCUGCUCUUCUGGGGAGGCCCCAUCAUCAUGGGUGCUUGGUUCUUGCUGGAGAUUGAGAAGUGGAAAUCUUUUUGUUUUGUGGUCACCAGAGAAGCAAACCAAUAAUCCAUGAAACACCAUUUUGUGUUAUAUUCCUAUAGGCAUUGUGUUUCUUCCUGAAUUCAUGGGAGAGGCAUAGACUGGGAAUUCUCACAGUAUUUAUCUUUGCACGUGAUUUUGCAUUAUCUGAUGAUUGUUUGGUCAUUGUACUAGCCCUUCUUUCUUUCCUAAGCGUAUGAGCCCCAUGUUGAAAAGGACUUCAUCUUCUUCCCUGGGCCAGCACAGUGCCCAUUCAGAGUUCAUGCUAUAGAUGGACCAACUGAUUAGCACAACCAAGAGGAGAGAAGGCAUGUUGUGGAAGAGAUGGCUGUGUUUGGGGCAGACAGCAGCUGUUAACUUUGGGAAUUUUUUUUUUCCAGUUUGUUUCUAUGCCUACAUGUUUUUAAU